rnacentral:tRNA from 1 species
GCCCGAUUAGUUCAGCUGGAUAGAAUGUCUGCCUACGGAGCAGAUGGUCGUAGGUUCGAAUCCAGCAUCGGGUA